rfam:Oryza glumipatula chromosome 4, whole genome shotgun sequence.
GUGUAGUGUAGUUUUAUACUAUUCAUCUCCAACAUUUAACCGUUCAUCUUAUUUGAAAAUUUUUUAUAAUUACUAUUUUUUAUUGUUAUUAGAUGAUAAAAUAUAAAUAGUACUUUAUGUGUUAUUAAUUUUUUUAAAAAAAUUUAUAAAUAUUUUAAAUAAGACGAAUAGUCAAACGUUGGACACAGAUUUUUAUGGCUGCAUUUAUU